GAGAGAAGAAGGUAGUGGCUGCUUUGGGGAAUGGAGGAGGCGGAAAAGAAUGUAAAGAGUGAAGAUGGAGAAAUAAGAUGAGGAAGUGGUGAUGAGAACCAAGGAAGAGAGAACGUCAGAGUGGUGCUGAGAAAGAAUAGACUUUUCUUCUGGUAAAGGGCGGCAGAGGGGAAGAAUCCAGCUGAUCACUACACAGGGCUUCUGGCUCCAGGAAUAACAGACCAUCUGGUGUCCAACUCCUUCAAAAUGAUGAGAACACCUGGACCCAGAGAAGUUAUGCAAAGUGCUCAAGCUCACACAAAGUGAUUUCUCUGGCUGCUAUGCUAGGAAUAAAUUAAAGGGUGACAAGAGCAAAAGCAGUGAGACAAGCUAAGAGAUCAGUGUAAUCAUCUAUGCAAGAAAGCCUGAUGCCUCUGACCAAGGUGCUAGCUGUGGAGAUGGUGAUGAGUGAUUGGAAAUUGAGCCAACAGGAGUUCCUGACAUGGAUAUGGAUAAGAAAAUGAGAAGAGACAAAGAUGACACCAAGAUUUGGGGCAUGAGUAAUUAGAAAGAUAAAACUGUUAAUCACUGAAAUGAGCAAGAUUUAAGAGGAGUAAAUUUUGGGGGAAAGAGUCAUGAGUUCAUUUUUAAACAUGUCAAGUUUGUGAUGCUUAUUAGAUAUCCAGGUAGGAGUGUCAAGAAAGUAGUUAGAUCUGUAAGGAUGGAAUUUAAGUUCUGAUAAUAAGAGUCUUCAGCUUCUAUAUGGUGCUUAAAGAUAUGAGACUGUAUAAGAGCAUCAAGUCAGUGGGUACAGACAGACAGGAGUACUGGGGCACUGCACUGUUUAGAGGUCAGGAAAUAAGAAAGAACCCGCAAAGGAGCCUACGAAGGAAAGGCCACCUUGGUAAGGAUUUUAAUUAUAGACCGUGGAAUUUAAGUUGUCUAAGGAAGGAAGAAAAAUCAUGAAUGGAGUGAUGGGACAAUAUUUUUUUUUAAUUUUUUUUUAUACAGCAGGUUCUUACUAGUUAUCUAUUUUAUAUAUAUUAGUGCAUAUAUGUCAAUCCUAAUCUCCCAAUUCAUCCCACCACCCUGCCCCCACUUGGGACAAUAUUAUUUUAAUUAAAAAAAAAGAACUUUGCACUAUUGAAUGAUGGAUUUAAAAUUUAGUGUCAUAACAUGAUAAGCACACUCAAAAAUGCAUUCUUCCAUUUUGAUCUAUAUUUCUUCAUGAGGUAAUUUUUCAGUUAUGACGGUCAAAACCAUGAAUCAAGGUAAGGUAAAUUAACCUAGACUAUAACUUUCAAAUUAUUAUAUUAAAAAGUAUUAAACUAAGAUUAUAAAAGAAACUAUAAAAAGAAAAGAUUAUAAAAAGAAAAUAAAAGAAACACAUUUAUCAAAUUACUUUACUAAAAUAUUAUUUCAAUUAUUUUAGAAAUCUUUAUAUUAUAUAUUUUCAUAUUAUAUAAAUAUAACAUUUUGGUAAAAGCAAAAUGGUUUUGCACUGUGGAUAAACAACAUUAAGCAUAUUAUCUGGUUCAUCCUUAUAAAUUUCUAUUGUGUAUCUUUUAAUAUACAGAGUAUUAGAACUUGUAUAAAACUUAUAAUAAAUUAGCAUAUAUAUUGGGAUUGUACUCAAGAACAUUUUGUUGAUAGAGAGGCGCAAUCAAAAAGGUUGGGAAGUCACUGUUCUAGGAGAUAAAUCACUGGAUUCCUACAAUUGCUUUUGCUAUUAUUAAUAAUAAUGUUGUACAUUGGAUGAAUGGAUAAAGAAAAUGUGGCAUAUAUAUACAAUGGGAUAUUACUCAGCCAUAAAAAGAAACAAAAUUGAGUUAUUUGUAGUGAGGUGGAUGGACCUAGAGUCUGUCAUACAGAGCGCAGUAAGUCAGAAAGAGAAAGACAAAUACCAUAUGCUAAAACACAUAUAUAUGGAAUAUAAGAAAAAAAAUGUCAUGAAGAACCUAGGGGUAAGACAGGAAUAAAGACACAGACCUACUAGAGAAUGGACUUGAGGAUAUGGGGAGGGGGAAGGGUAAGCUGUGACAAAGUGAGAGAGUGGCAUGGACAUAUAUACACUACCAAACGUAAAAUAGAUAGCUAGUGGGAAGCAGCCGCAUAGCACAGGGAGAUCAGCUCAGUGCUUUGUGACCACAUGG